rnacentral:lncRNA from 1 species
UAUUUCGCUUGGUACUGUUUCGUCGUAAAAAUUCUUUGCCAUGAUCAGAGUAGACAGCUUCUUGCAGCCUUGCAGAAUGCGGAGAGCACCUGUAAGGUUUGUCAUUUGAUUGUCUGAAAAAGUAAAGAACGACAGGGAUUCCAAUUCCAGUACUUGAGGAGAUAUCUGUCCCGUUAACUUGUUGCCUGCAAACCUCAUUGCUGUCAUCGUUUUGCAGGAGUAAACCGUGGAGGGGAAUUCCCCAGUGAAGCUAUUGUUUCCAAGGUCCAGAAUGCUGAGGCUCUGAAACUGGGAGAAGUCUAUCGCCGAUAAAUUUCCUCCCAGCUUAUUAACUCGUAAAUUCAACUUCACG